AAACUAACAAGGAUUCCCCUAGUAACGGCGAGUGAAGUGGGAAAAGCUCAACUUUGUAAUCUGGCUCUUUCAGAGUCCGAGUUGUAGUCUCGAGAAGCAUCAUCCGCGCCGGACCUUGGAUAUGUCUGUUGGAAAACAGCGUCAUAGAGGGUGACAAUCCCGUUUGUGCCAAGGACGCCCGUGUGCAUUGCGGUGUGCUUUCUAAGAGUCGAGUUGUUUGGGAAUGCAGCUCAAAUUGGGUGGUAAAUUCCAUCUAAAGCUAAAUAUUGGCGAGAGACCGAUAGCGAACAAGUACCGUGAGGGAAAGAUGAAAAGCACUUUGGAAAGAGAAUGAAACAGUAUGUGAAAUUGCUGGAAGGGAAACGUUUGAAGUUAGACUUGCUUUUGUCACAUUCAGCCUUUUAGGUGUACUUGUGGCUUGUGCAGGCCAGCAUCGGUUUGCUUUGCGGUAUAAGGGUGCAUGGGAUGUAGCUGCCUCGGCAGUGUUAUAAACUUGCACUGGAUGCCGAAUCGCAGACCGAGGUUCGCAGCGCGCCUUUCAGGCAAUGGGCUUGCCCAUCGAGCGCUUAGGAUGC
rnacentral:rRNA from 1 species